CUCUUCCGCCUCCUGCCUGGUUCGCCGCUCCCCUCCGCGACGACACGCCCCCAGCCCACUCCGCCGCGGGACGCCUCAUCCCGCGGGUACCCUUCACAGGUUUAACAGCCUCCACCCCUCGGGCACCAAGCAGUGUUAUCCAGGAAAAAAAAAAAAAAAGAGACUGAUUCUCAGUAGUAAUCUCUGUGCCUGUGAGGAACUUAAUGCAAGUCUCAGGAUCUCAAAAUAAGACCUACGAGCAUAAAGUAAUGAGUCUGUCAAGCUGGAUUUCCAUGCAUGGGGGAGGAUCUCUUUAAGUAAGGAAACUUCCUUGUGCUUCUUUAAGCACAGUUGCUAUCAUUCCGGGAGAAGCUCCUUUUAACCCAUAUCUUCUUCCAACUAGCAUCCUAUUUUUUUUCUUUCCUUCCCAGCUGAACUUCUUAAGGACCAACCUAUAUGAUGUGAUAUUUUAGAUAUUAACCUAUUUUUCUUGGUAUUCCUUGUAUAGCUUGCCACUUUCCCAACCCUCACCCAUAGGUUUGUUGCAUUGAAGAAAGGAUGUAGAAGGAAAAUCUUUCUGGCUUUU
rnacentral:lncRNA from 1 species